UACGAAGGGUGCAAGCGUUACUCGGAAUUACUGGGCGUAAAGCGUGCGUAGGUGGUUCGUUAAGUCUGUCGUGAAAUCCCCGGGCUCAACCCGGGAACUGCGCCUGAUACUGGAGGGCUUGAAUCCGGGAGAGGGAUGUGGAAUUCCAGGUGUAGCGGUGAAAUGCGUAGAUAUCUGGAGGAACACCGGUGGCGAAGGCGGCAUCCUGGACCAGUAUUGACGCUGAGGCGCGAAAGCCAGGGGAGCAAACGGG
rnacentral:rRNA from 1 species